GUCGAACGAGCGAGAGAGAGCUUGCUUUCUCGAGCGAGUGGCGAACGGGUGAGUAACGCGUGAGGAACCUGCCUCAAAGAGGGGGACAACAGUUGGAAACGACUGCUAAUACCGCAUAAGCCCACGGCUCGGCAUCGAGCAGAGGGAAAAGGAGCAAUCCGCUUUGAGAUGGCCUCGCGUCCGAUUAGCUAGUUGGUGAGGUAAUGGCCCACCAAGGCGACGAUUGGUAGCCGGACUGAGAGGUUGAACGGCCACAUUGGGACUGAGACACGGCCCAGACUCCUACGGGAGGCAGCAGUGGGGAAUAUUGCACAAUGGGGGAAACCCUGAUGCAGCGACGCCGCGUGGAGGAAGAAGGUCUUCGGAUUGUAAACUCCUGUUGUUGAGGAAGAUAAUGACGGUACUCAACAAGGAAGUGACGGCUAACUACGUGCCAGCAGCCGCGGUAAAACGUAGGUCACAAGCGUUGUCCGGAAUUACUGGGUGUAAAGGGAGCGCAGGCGGGAAGACAAGUUGGAAGUGAAAUCCAUGGGCUUAACCCAUGAACUGCUUUCAAAACUGUUUUUCUUGAGUAGUGCAGAGGUAGGCGGAAUUCCCGGUGUAGCGGUGGAAUGCGUAGAUAUCGGGAGGAACACCAGUGGCGAAGGCGGCCUACUGGGCACCAACUGACGCUGAGGCUCGAAAGUGUGGGUAGCAAACAGGAUUAGAUACCCUGGUAGUCCACACUGUAAACGAUGAUUACUAGGUGUUGGAGGAUUGACCCCUUCAGUGCCGCAGUUAACACAAUA
rnacentral:rRNA from 1 species